rnacentral:rRNA from 1 species
GACGAACGCUGGCGGCGUGCCUAAUACAUGCAAGUCGAACGGACCUUGCUUUAACGGAUUGGAGUACUUGUACAAAGAGAAGAUAGAGCGCUGGUUAGUGGCGAACGGGUGAGUAACACGUAGGUAACCUGGCAAUAAGACGAGGACAACUAUUGGAAACGAUAGCUAAUACUGGAUGUGGUGUGAGGAAGGCAUCUUCUUCAUAUUAAAGGAGCUACGGCUUCACUUAUUGAUGGACCUGCGGCGCAUUAGCUAGUUGGUAAGGUAGAGGCUUACCAAGGCAAUGAUGCGUAGCCGAUCUGAGAGGAUAAACGGCCACACUGGGACUGAGAUACGGCCCAGACUCCUACGGGAGGCAGCAGUAGGGAAUUUUCCACAAUGGACGGAAGUCUGAUGGAGCAACGCCGCGUGAGUGAAGAAGGUUUUCGGAUCGUAAAACUCUGUUGUUAGAGAAGAACGUCAGUGAGAGUGGAAAGUUCACUGAGUGACGGUAUCUAACCAGAAAGGGACGGCUAACUACGUGCCAGCAGCCGCGUAACAC